UACGUAGGCAGCGAGCGUUGUUCGGAAUUACUGGGCGUAAAGCGUGCGCAGGCGGUUUUGUAAGCCAGAUGUGAAAGCCCCGGGCUUAACCUGGGAAUGGCCGUUGAAACUGGCGAACUGGAGUGUGGCAGAGGGGGGUGGAAUUCCGCGUGUAGCAGUGAAAUGCGUAGAGAUGCGGAGGAACACCGAUGGCGAAGGCAGCCCCCUGGGCUAACACUGACGCUCAGGCACGAAAGCGUGGGGAGCAAACAGG
rnacentral:rRNA from 1 species